AUUCAGGAUGCUUAGGACUCUUUUCUGGUGCAAGGUCCCACCCCAACCCCUUUGCACGUAGUACCCCCUCUUUGCUCACGUCCUGCUCCUCUUAAAUUUAUUCAUAAUCUUGUGAUGCUCAACCUGCAUUGGAAUCCACAGAACACCUCCCAAACCUAGAAGGAUCGCACUGUGAGUGAGGGACCGGUCUUAGGGGAAAGAGACCUCAGCAGACCAUCCCGAGUCUACCUUACCCACCUCCUCCAGGUCACGUGAGCAAUGUGGAGGUGCAAGAACACAUUUCUCUGAGGCUGGCAGGUUGAGUUUCUUGUGGGCCAGGAGUUCAGCUGAAUACCUCCUGGUCUCCGCAGGAGUUCCUGGAACUGCAGGAGAAGUAUGGAGAGAUUGAAGUGAUGAAUGUGUGCGACACUUAGGAGACCACCUCAUGGGCAAUGUCUGUGUCAAGGUGCCUGUUUCCCCCGCAUUAGAGCCCAGAGGUGGAGGCACUUCAAUGCCUAAAGGCCACCACUGAAGCCCCAUAACUUGAGGUCCAUCACUAAAUCCAGUCCAGCCCCAGCACUGCUAACUAAUCCCCUGAAUAUUUCAGAGUUUGCUGACCCUGAUUGGCUUUCCAGUCAGUUUGGGUGUGAAGAGGAUGUCAAGCAGACAGCUGAAUUCAGUAACUGUUCGUUCAAUGGGCAGGCUGUGCAUACUGAGCUGUCUCCUGUCACUGACUUCUGGGAGUCAUGUUGUUGGCAGUAGGAGAUGGGAGAAAGCACCGUUGGUGGCUUCUGCAACUUCAUUCACCUGCAACCCACCUCCCGGAACCUCAGCGGGCAGCUCUAUGGGCAGGAACCCAGGGGCAGGUCACCCCUGAGGUCUCAUACCCACCACCAUCCCCAAGAAAGAAACCAGUGAUGUUUCCCAGGUGACUAGCAUGGCCGCUUCUGAGAUCCUGGCCCUCUUGUCCUCCACACCUGACAGGCACAGACGUUCCUGGCCAGAACCUCUCCUCAAAGCUCCCUCAAGUUCCCAAGGUCAUC